rnacentral:rRNA from 1 species
UACGUAGGGGGCAAGCGUUGUCCGGAAUCAUUGGGCGUAAAGCGCACGUAGGCGGUUUGUUAAGUCGGAUGUGAAAUCCCUCGGCUCAACUGAGGAAGUGCACCCGAAACUGGCAAGCUUGAGUACUAAAGAGGGUCGCGGAAUUCCCGGUGUAGAGGUGAAAUUCGUAGAUAUCGGGAGGAACACCGGUGGCGAAGGCGGCGACCUGGGUAGAUACUGACGCUGAGGUGCGAAAGCCAGGGGAGCAAACGGG